AUUGAACGCCGGCGGCAUGCCUUACACAUGCAAGUCGAACGGUAACAGGUCUUCGGGUGCUGACGAGUGGCGAACGGGUGAGUAAUACAUCGGAACGUGCCUAGUAGUGGGGGAUAACUACUCGAAAGAGUGGCUAAUACCGCAUGAGAUCUACGGAUGAAAGCAGGGGAUCGCAAGACCUUGUGCUACUAGAGCGGCUGAUGGCAGAUUAGGUAGUUGGUGGGAUAAAAGCUUACCAAGCCGACGAUCUGUAGCUGGUCUGAGAGGACGAUCAGCCACACUGGGACUGAGACACGGCCCAGACUCCUACGGGAGGCAGCAGUGGGGAAUUUUGGACAAUGGGCGCAAGCCUGAUCCAGCAAUGCCGCGUGCAGGAUGAAGGCCUUCGGGUUGUAAACUGCUUUUGUACGGAACGAAAAGCCCUGGGUUAAUACCCUGGGGUCAUGACGGUACCGUAAGAAUAAGCACCGGCUAACUACGUGCCAGCCGCCGCGGUAAGAC
rnacentral:rRNA from 1 species